CGUCAAAUCAUCAUGCCCCUUAUGUCUUGGGCUUCACGCAUGCUACAAUGGCCGGUACAGAGGGCUGCGAUACCGUAAGGUGGAGCGAAUCCCAAAAAGCCGGUCUCAGUUCGGAUUGCAGUCUGCAACUCGACUGCAUGAAGUCGGAAUCGCUAGUAAUCGCGAAUCAGCAUGUCGCGGUGAAUACGUUCCCGGGUCUU
rnacentral:rRNA from 1 species